rnacentral:rRNA from 1 species
CACCGGCGGCUCGAGUGGUGGCCACUUUUAUUGGGUCUAAAGCGUCCGUAGCCGGCUUGGCAAGUCCCCUGGGAAAUCUGGCGGCUUAACCGUCAGGCGUCCAGAGGAUACUGCCAGGCUUGGGACCGGGAGAGGUGAGAGGUACCUCAGGGGUAGGGGUGAAAUCUUGUGAUCCCUGAGGGACCACCAGUGGCGAAGGCGUCUCACUAGAACGGGUCCGACGGUCAGGGACGAAAGCUGUGGGCACGAACCGG